rnacentral:rRNA from 1 species
GACGGGGGGGGCAAGUGUUCUUCGGAAUUACUGGGCGUAAAGCGUGCGCAGGCGGUUAUUUAAGUCAGGUGUGAAAGCCCUGGGCUUAACCUAGGAAUUGCGCUUGAGACUGGAUAGCUUGGAGUGCGGCAGAGGGAGGUGGAAUUCCACGUGUAGCAGUGAAAUGCGUAGAGAUGUGGAGGAACACCGAUGGCGAAGGCAGCCUCCUGGGCCAGCACUGACGCUCAUGCACGAAAGCGUGGGGAGCAAACAGG